AGUCAUAUGCUUGUCUCAAAGAUUAAGCCAUGCAUGUCUAAGUACAAGCCUCACUAAGGUGAAACCGCGAAUGGCUCAUUAAAUCACACCUAAUCUACUGGAUAGUAAAAAGUUACUUGGAUAACUGCGGUAAUUCUGGAGCUAAUACAUGCACAAAGCCGCGACUCACGAAGCGGCGCUUUUAUUAGAUCAAAACCAAACGGCUUCGGCUGUACUCAUGGUGACUCUGAAUAACUUUGGGCUGAUCGCAUAGCCUUGAGCUGGCGACAUAUCCUUCGAAGGUGUGCCCUAUCAACUUUCGACUGUGGCAUAGACGCCCACAGUGGUUUUGACGGGUAACGGGGAAUCAGGGUUCGAUUCCGGAGAGGGAGCCUUAAAAACGGCUACCACAUCUAAGGAAGGCAGCAGGCACGCAAAUUACCCAAUGACCGAAGGUCGAGGUAGUGACGAAAAAUAACGAUAGAGGACUCAUCCGAGGCCCUCUAAUUGGAAUGAGUACACUUUAAAACCGUCCCCGAGGAUCUAUUGGAGGGCAAGUCUGGUGCCAGCAGCCGCGGUAAUUCCAGCUCCAAUAGCGUAUAUUAAAAGUUGUUGUGGUUAAAAAGCUCGUAGUUGGAUCUCAACAGCCUUGAAGCGGUUAACUUUGUAGUUUUACUGCUUUAUAGGCUGUGCUUUUGCUGGAGGUUUAGGGGUGCUCUUGAUCGAGUGUCUCUGGGAUGCCAGCAGGUUUACUUUGAAAAAAUUAGAGUGCUCAAAGCAGCUAAAUGCCUGAAUAUUCGUGCAUGGAAUAUAGAAUAGGAUGUCGAUCCUAUUUUGUUGUUUUCGGGACUCGACAUAAUGAUAAUAGGGACAGUCGGGGGCAUUUGUAUUCAAACGACAGAGGUGAAAUUCUUGGACCGUUUGAAGACAAACUACUGCGAAAGCAUUUGCCAAGAAUGUUUCAUUAAUCAAGAACGAAAGUUAGAGGUUCGAAGGCGAUUAGAUACCGCCCUAGUUCUAACCAUAAACGAUGCCAGCUAGCGAUCUGCCUGCCGUUUUUACUGUAGACUGGGCAGGAAGCUUCCGGGAAACCAAAGCAUUUGGGUUCCAGGGGAAGUAUGGUUGCAAAGCUGAAACUUUAAAGGAAUUGACGGAAGGGCACCACCAGGAGUGGAGCCUGUGGCUUAAUUUGACUCAACACGGGAAAUCUCACCAGGCCCGGACACUGGAAGGAUUGACAGAUUGAUAGCUCUUUCUUGAUUCGGUGGGUGGUGGUGCAUGGCCGUUCUUAGUUGGUGGAGUGAUUUGUCUGGUUAAUUCCGAUAACGAACGAGACUCUGUCCUGCUAAAUAGUUUCUACUUCUCUUUUGAGUAGAAAUUUCUUCUUAGAGGGACUGGUGACUCUUAGUCACACGAGAUUGAGCAAUAACAGGUCUGUGAUGCCCUUAGAUGUUCUGGGCCGCACACGCGCUACACUGAAUAGAUCAGCGUGUCACCCUUCCCGAAAGGGACGGGUAAACGCUUGAACCCUAUUCGUGGUAGGGAUCGGGGCUUGCAAUUGUUCCCCGUGAACCAGGAAUUCCCAGUAGGCGCAAGUCAUAAGCUUGCGUCGAUUACGUCCCUGCCCUU
rnacentral:rRNA from 1 species